UAUUAAACAAGAAAAUUUAGUAAAUGAGACAAUGGAAUUCAGUUGUUGAACAAGCUUGGAAAUAGAAAUUAGAUUAUAUUGAAAGCUGGGAAUGUAUAAUACAUGAUGUAGAGUGAAACAAAGAAAUUUAAUGGAUCCAAUACAUGUUACUUUAACCUUGUAACCAUUAGGUAGAGUAACUAAGUAUGGGACAACUAAAGGUU
rnacentral:lncRNA from 1 species